GAUGAACGCUGGCGGCGUGCCUAAUACAUGCAAGUCGAGCGAACAGACGAGGAGCUUGCUCCUUUGACGUUAGCGGCGGACGGGUGAGUAACACGUGGGUAACCUACCUAUAAGACUGGGAUAACUUCGGGAAACCGGAGCUAAUACCGGAUAAUAUUUCGAACCGCAUGGUUCGAUAGUGAAAGAUGGCUUUGCUAUCACUUAUAGAUGGACCUGCGCCGUAUUAGCUAGUUGGUAAGGUAACGGCUUACCAAGGCAACGAUACGUAGCCGACCUGAGAGGGUGAUCGGCGACACUGGAACUGAGACACGGUCCAGACUCCUACGGGAGGCAGCAGUAGGGAAUCUUCCGCAAUGGGCGAAAGCCUGACGGAGCAACGCCGCGUGAGUGAUGAAGGUCUUCGGAUCGUAAAACUCUGUUAUUAGGGAAGAACAAACGUGUAAGUAACUGUGCACGUCUUGACGGUACCUAAUCAGAAAGCCACGGCUAACUACGUG
rnacentral:rRNA from 1 species